rnacentral:lncRNA from 1 species
CGUGGGGUUCAGCCCUGCCACGGGGGCUUGUCCUGCUUUCGUGCGACACCGAAAAACGGGCAUCGCGAGCUCGCUAGAUCCGGCUGCCGACCUGCCCUUCCUUCCAUGCCUGGAGGUGCCUUCGUUCCCUUUGUGAGACCACCACCCUGGAGGACACCGAUCUCCCCAAACUGGACUCAUUGAUUACUGUGUGCUGUGCUCUGUACUAAGUCCCUUGCAGCCAAUAUCACCUUUAGCAAAACUAAAGUCCCUGUAAUGGUCACAGAGAAUCUGAGCUGGCGAAUUGAGUGUGAACAUAGCCCGCCACAGCAAUAUUGCUGCCUAAUAAGUUGAUUGAUCGGUAUGAAGCAAGAGCAUACUGACCUUUGUUGCUUUCUUUUGCUGUAAUACUGAUAAAAUGUCCACCAUGAUGAAUAUGAGAGUAUAUAUUUUCUAGUGGUUUUGUCUUUGUGGAUGACCUCAGGCCAGCAGACUGGCAGCAGGAGCCAUGCCGAGAGCAGAGGAACCAUGCUGGGUAGCACGGCCAGCUCAUCCUCUAAGCCCAGAGCCCAGCUUGCAACAGAAGUAGAUGAGGUAUGAUGAGAACAGAACAGGUGUUCUCAAAAAAAGAUGUAACUUUUAAAAACUUGGAGACUGAAGAUCACAAUGGAUCAUCAAAAAAUGCAAAAGUAUCAGUCAUAUCUGGAGCCCAUGUUGGAAAAUAUCAAGAAGAGAGGAAGGACAAGGAGAUUUAUUUGAUGUAGCAAGUUCAGAGAGGGAUUCAGGAACAUCAGAGAAGAAUUUGAAAAGCGUGAUCCGGAAAAAAGUAGUCAAGGUUGGAAAGGAAGAUGUCAUUUCAGUCCUGAAAAAGUUUGACUUGCAUCUGAAGGACGAAUAUUUUGACGAUUUCCUGAAGAGAUGCGACCUUCUAAACAGUCUGACUGGCCGUAGGAAUUUGGAUACCUGAGAAACAUCCAGGAUGGCAGCGAUGAAGGGACCACGCGCAGUCCUCUCCAAGCCCGUGCGCAGGUUGCACGGACCCUCUAUAUUGUUACUGCUAGUCUUCUAAUCAGCUAUCUCCUACCAGACCCGUUGAUAAACACAAAGGACGGUCCUCACCUUUGUGGUGCCCUGUCCUCCUGGAGACCUUGCCAUUAAUGGACAAGGGCAGCCUGGUCCAGAGACGGUCCAUGAGAAGUUGGCCUUGGGAAACAAAAGUGCUACAGGAAUGAACCUACUCUGUAUUGUUACUAAAACCGUUAGUGUUAUUGUUAUUAAAAUUACUUUCAUUUAAGAACCAGUGUGCUUUCUCUGGCUGAGGAGGUUACCAAAGUGCACAGGAGGAGACAGAAGUGCCAAUGUGAUAUGACUCACUUCCCCCUGAACAACUCCUUAAUUUUCCCAGUGCCACUCUUUAUUUUUAGCUUUGGCCUUCUGCAACACUUGACCUUUUGCCUGGAUGGAGCAAUGUACUGUGGAGCUCAAACCCACAGCCAUCCCUGUCCUGUGCUAUGUAGGGGAUGUACGCGUUAGAUUAUGUCUUCUUUGGAAGAUUAUGCAAUCCAGAAUGGUCUUUUAGGACAAAGUAAACUGUUUAUAGUUCACACACACACACACACACGUCCCUUUGGUAACAUUGCCUUGCACGUCUGGAUUGUAAUCGUGUCUUUAACAUCUCCUCUGUCAUCUGCUGCAAGAGAUAAGUAUAAUUUUUAACAUUUGUGAAUGUAUUUUAAAAAUGUGGAUAAGGAUUUUGUAUCAAAAUAUUCAUCCCACUUGGUUUAGAAUAACAAAAACUUGGAAAC